rnacentral:rRNA from 1 species
UGACCUCAAAUCAGGUAGGAUUACCCGCUGAAC